UUUCCGUAGGUGAACCUGCGGAAGGAUCAUUAAUAAAUGGGCGCAAGCCUUUAUUCAAUCUUCUACACCUGUGAACCAUUGCCUUCGGGCGAAUUCAAACAUAAUGUAACGAAUGUAAAUUAUUAUAACAAAUAUAACUUUCAACAACGGAUCUCUUGGCUCUCACAUCGAUGAAGAACGCAGCGAAAUGCGAUAAGUAAUGUGAAUUGCAGAAUUCCGUGAAUCAUCGAAUUUUUGAACGCAAAUUGCACUUCCUGGCAACCCGGGGAGUAUGCCUGUUUGAGGGUCAGUAUUAAUAAAAAUCGGCGUGUUGCUCUUUUGUGACGUUCCGGAGUUUGGGUCAUCUUAUAACAGGUGUUUUAAGAGGCUUAAAAUUGAUACCUUUUUUGUGCAUUUUUAGACGUACAAUAAAUUCUUUUUAUCCGUUUAUAUUAAUGCCAAAAUAUAUUAGAUGCGAUCAUAUCGUGUGGUACCGUGUCUAUAAAUUUUCAUGAUUUGACCUCAAAUCAGGUAAGAAUACCCGCUGAACUUAA
rnacentral:rRNA from 1 species